CUACGGGAGGCAGCAGUGGGGAAUAUUGGACAAUGGGCGCAAGCCUGAUCCAGCCAUGCCGCGUGAGUGAUGAAGGCCUUAGGGUUGUAAAGCUCUUUCGCCAGGGACGAUAAUGACGGUACCUGGAUAAGAAGCCCCGGCUAACUUCGUGCCGGCAGCCGCGGUAAUACGAAGGGGGUUAGCGUUGCUCGGAAUCACUGGGCGUAAAGCGCACGUAGGCGGGUUGCUAAGUCAGGGGUGAAAUCCUGGAGCUCAACUCCAGAACUGCCUUUGAUACUGGCGACCUUGAGUCCGGGAGAGGUGAGUGGAACUGCGAGUGUAGAGGUGAAAUUCGUAGAUAUUCGCAAGAACACCAGUGGCGAAGGCGGCUCACUGGCCCGGUACUGACGCUGAGGUGCGAAAGCUAGGGGAGCAAACGGGAUUAGAAACCCGUGUAGUCC
rnacentral:rRNA from 1 species